CUGGGAAGGAAGCCACCAGGGCAGGCUGAACUUGGAGGGGGAGGGCCCUCACAUCUGGGUUUGGCUGCUCCUCUUCUGCUGGAAAAACUCAAAGCCAUCCAUCUAGAGACUCCCAGGAACAUGUCCCCAGCUCCCAGCUCCCCGGUGAAGCUCAGGCUGCUGUGUUUGGUAAUUCAGGAAAAGACAAUGCUAAGGAAGUAUGUGGAGUUGUGGUAGGGGGAUGAGAAGAAAAUGGCAUGGCCCAGUGAACAGAGACCUUGUCUGGGGAGAAUGGUCCCUGAGGCUAAUAGGUGAGGCCUGGCUGGAGCCAGCUUCUUAGGUACCAGGGAUGCAUCAAAGGGCUACCCCCAGGAGGAACACUGCACUGGGCUCUGUUUUGUUGGGUUUUGGUUUGUUUUUCCUUUACUGACUCCCUGCUUCCCCCACCUUCCCUCCUGCCCAUGCACAUGCUCUGACCCUGGACAAAGAACUUCCCUUUAGUUUCCCAACCUGCAGGAUGAGAUAGGAGUUUCAUAGUAAUCUGCCCCCAAAGUCCAGGAAAAUGCCCUAGGAGCUGCCAGCAAUAGUGAAAGGCCCUUCCCCACCGCAGCCCCUGGGGCCCUGCAUUGUAAAUUUCGAGGUUCAGUCCUUGGAGGGAAGUCAGCCUUUAGGAUAGUGGGCUAGAGAAGAACAAACCCUCGCUCACCAACACUACCAAGCUCCCAGGGUUCUCCAGCCUUGUGAUGUGGCCUCCUCGGCGCCUCACCACGCUGUGCAGGGGCUACGUGAUGUGAAACCUCCGGUACA
rnacentral:lncRNA from 10 species